rnacentral:rRNA from 1 species
UACGGGGGGGGCAAGCGUUGUUCGGAAUUACUGGGCGUAAAGGGUUCGUAGGUGGCCAACUAAGUCAGACGUGAAAUCCCUCGGCUCAACCGGGGAACUGCGUCUGAUACUGGUUGGCUUGAGUGCAGGAGAGGAACGCGGAAUUCCAGGUGUAGCAGUGAAAUGCGUAGAGAUGUGGAGGAACACCGAUGGCGAAGGCAGCCCCCUGGGCUAACACUGACGCUCAUGCACGAAAGCGUGGGGAGCAAACAGG